rnacentral:rRNA from 1 species
UUCAUUCGAUACGAAGCGAUGAACCUUACCCGGGUUUGAAAUGUACCUGCACGGCCCCAGAAACGGGGCAAGCCUUAGAGGGUGGUACACAGCUGUUGCAUGGCUGUCGUCAGCUCGUGACGUGAGUUGUUCUCUUAAGUGAGGUAACGAGCGCAACCCCCAUUCUGUGUUACUAUGUCACAGAAGACUGCCCAGCAUUAUUUUGUUGGGAGGAAGGAGGGGACGACGUCAAGUCAUCAUGAUGCUUAUAUCCGGGGCUACACACAUCCUACAAUGGGUGGUACAGAGGGUCGCAAUACCGCGAGGUGGAGCUAAUCCUUAAAACCUCCCUCAGUUGGGAUUGCAGGCUGAAACUCGCCUGCAUGAACUUGGAAUUGGUAGUAAUCGCAAAUCAGCAGAUUGCGGUGAAUACGUUCUCGCCUCUUG